AUACUGGCAAUCCCACGGCCUGCAAAGCCGUGUACAUCGGUUCGAUUACGGUUCGCGCCUCCA
rnacentral:tRNA from 1 species